AUUGUAGUGGAAUCAGUUCACAUCCGUGGCUGUGAGAGGACUGGCGAUGAGUUAGGAAAAAAAAAAAAGAGAGUGGUCUGUUUGCUCGCGUGGCAGGCGCUAAUUUCUCACUGUGCUCAAAAACCACUGUCUUCAUCUUCACAGGAAACAUCAAACUCAGAGGUGACGGUGUCGAGCAGCAGCAGGCAGGUCCUCCCAGGCAGUCAGCAGCUACAUUUCAACCAAGAAGCGACGAUGUCAUACGGCGACAGCAACCUGGAAUCAAGUUUUGAAAACCAUCAGAAUGAAACAGGUAAGAUUUUGUUAACAUAUUUAUAUUCUCUCCCAUGCACACCGACACUGAGGCCUGCCUUUGUACUUCUGUCUGUGCCGACUUUUAGAAGAGGAGGAGUUUCCCAGGUACACUACAAAAGAACUGAGGGAUCGCUUUGAAAGAACAAUAGAGGAGGCUGCUCCACAAAAACCAGUGAGGGUAAGCAUCUACGUUUCACUUGAGUUGGACAAAAGUAUUGAAGCUAUGAAAGAAAGAGAUAUUUAAUUUAGGAUAUUUAAAACUGUAUUAGGUUUAAUUUGAUGAGGUAAAUACUGGUUAUUUGUUAAAGUUGUAAUCCUUAAGAUUUUAAUCCUGGUUGAUUCAAUUGCAUGUGUGAUUAAAUAUUACAGCAAAUACUCCUUCUACAAUUGAUGGACGAAUGGGUUUUUCGACCCAUUCUCAUUGAAUUUUGUACAAAUACGGCCAACUUGAAUGCAGGUGAUCAAUCCAAUCCUUCCCUUUCAUUGAUCCACAAGUUUCCUGAGGAGGUCACUGGGGAGGUGAAAUGGUUAUAGAUGAUAAUGUGGGCACUUGGUGGAACUAGCAAAAGCAAUACAAUAUCAUCUUAAAAUGGACACAGGAGGCACUUUCAGGGCUUUAGAAGUGAUUGCUAAGUGGACUAAGAAACGAUAAUAGUGUAAGUAGCAUUCAACCAAUAAAGUUGCUAACCUUUAUCUUCAUGAAUGAAUGAUACGCUGCACCAGUCGGUCUAAUAAAAAGGAAUAGCAUUAUGUUUCAGUGAAAAAGGCCAGUUCUGGUUAAGUGACGGGAUCCAGUGGAAGUUGCAAUACAAUUUGCACAAGGUUUAAUAGGGGUUGGGACUCAGGUGGAAAUGAAGAGCAGAUGCAUAACCAGGUGACCUUCAUCCGCAUUGUAACAAAAUGACCACAUAAAGGGCACAGUUUUGUUCGGUUUAGGCGUGAAACUACCGGGUUAAGAGAAGGAAAAGAUGAUGUAACGUGUGAAAUAGGUCA
rnacentral:lncRNA from 1 species